rnacentral:rRNA from 1 species
UGGGGAAUAUUGGACAAUGGGCGAAAGCCUGAUCCAGCAAUGCCGCGUGAGUGAUGAAGGCCUUAGGGUUGUAAAGCUCUUUUACCCGGGAUGAUAAUGACAGUACCGGGAGAAUAAGCCCCGGCUAACUCCGUGCCAGCAGCCGCGGUAAUACGGAGGGGGCUAGCGUUGUUCGGAAUUACUGGGCGUAAAGCGCACGUAGGCGGCUUUGUAAGUUAGAGGUGAAAGCCCAGGGCUCAACCCUGGAAUUGCCUUUGAUACUGCAUCGCUUGAAUCCAGGAGAGGUGAGUGGAAUUCCGAGUGUAGAGGUGAAAUUCGUAGAUAUUCGGAAGAACACCAGUGGCGAAGGCGGCUCACUGAACUGGUAUUGACGCUGAGGUGCGAAAGCGUGGGGAGCAAA